GGUGCGCAUGCGCACGCGCAAUUACCUAGGGACGCGGAAGCGGAUCCUCCGGUCAGACUGGCGCCGGCGGGUGAGUGAGUCGGUUCUUUGCCUCGUAAGUGCGCUAUGCGAUCUCCAAGCCCCGCUUCUCCAUACCUGGGUUUCGAGGGUGUCCCAGCAAAUUAAAACCCCUGAAGGCGGUCGUCUCUCUUGCUCUGAGUCCGCCCCUUUCGCCUGUCGCGGCGUCGCCAGAAGACUCGGUUCGGCCCCGGGAGUCUGGGUCCGGUUCCGGUUAAAAUCGUUCUGACGCAGGUACCGGCCCCAACUUUUUGCCUUCGGUCCGUAGAGACACUGACCUCCUGCAGCGACGUUUUCCUAGUCUGACUCCCUUUCUCAAACCUUUGUAUGACUCCCGGCUCCCCUCCUUCUCCCACCGCCCCCCCGCCCCAUUCCAUUUUGUUAAGUCCUCACUCAGGAGGUGGAUCGCCCUUGACCUCCCUCCAGGGAGAGCAGAGACGGAAUACAAAGGCAGAAGUAUAUGCAGUCAGUGAGACAUCAGAACGUUUGGGGAGAAAGAACGACAGGGAUUGCAACAGAGAUUUCAACAGAGCGAGGCCUAACAGUCUGUGAGAGGAAGAAUAGAGAGGGAGGGAAACAAAAUGAUGCGUAUGAACAGAGAGGAGGAAACACAGAAAUGGACACAAAAGGAGAGGAGAGAAACAGAGGACCCAGGGAGACAUACAGGAAACAAAGCACGUGGUGGUGGAGAAAGCGGGAACCCAAACCCAGAAUCAUCUUACCUGAAGAAUCUAACAAGAAAUUCAGAGGAGGAGGAAAGAAGGAGGAAUGGAGCUUUCACAGGGACUGUUUACGUCCAAGGAUGUGGCCAUCGAAUUCUCUCAGGAGGAGUGGGAAUGCCUGGACCCUGCUCAGAGGGCCUUGUACAGGGACGUGA
rnacentral:lncRNA from 1 species